UACGUAGGGUGCAAGCGUUAAUCGGAAUUACUGGGCGUAAAGCGUGCGCAGGCGGUUUUGUAAGUCUGUCGUGAAAUCCCCAGGCUCAACCUGGGAACUGCGUCCGAUACUGGAUGGCUUGAAUCCGGGAGAGGGAUGCAGAAUUCCAGGUGUAGCGGUGAAAUGCGUAGAUAUCUGGAGGAAUACCGGUGGCGAAGGCGGCAUCCUGGACCGGCAUUGACGCUGAGGAGCGAAAGCCAGGGGAGCAAACGGG
rnacentral:rRNA from 1 species